CCCGGGCCUUGUACACACCGCCCGUCACGUCAUGAAGGUCGGCAACACCCGAAGCCGGUGGCCUAACCCUUGUGGAGGGAGCCGUCGAAGGUGGGGCUGGCGAUUAGGACG
rnacentral:rRNA from 1 species